rnacentral:rRNA from 1 species
GAUGAACGCUGGCGGCGUGCCUAAUACAUGCAAGUCGAGCGAACGGACGAGAAGCUUGCUUCUCUGAUGUUAGCGGCGGACGGGUGAGUAACACGUGGAUAACCUACCUAUAAGACUGGGAUAACUUCGGGAAACCGGAGCUAAUACCGGAUAAUAUUUUGAACCGCAUGGUUCAAAAGUGAAAGACGGUCUUGCUGUCACUUAUAGAUGGAUCCGCGCUGCAUUAGCUAGUUGGUAAGGUAACGGCUUACCAAGGCAACGAUGCAUAGCCGACCUGAGAGGGUGAUCGGCCGCCCUGGAACUGGGACACGGACCAGACUCCUACGGGAGGCAGCAGUAGGGAAUGUUCCGCAGUGGGCGAAAGCCUGACGGAACAACGCCGCGUGAGUGAUGAAGGUCUUCGGAUCGUAAAACUCUGUUAUUAGGGAAGAACAGAUGUGUAAGUAACUGUGCACAUCUUGACGGUACCUAAUCAGAAAGCCACGGCUAACUACGUG